UACGUAGGUGGCAAGCGUUGUCCGGAAUUAUUGGGCGUAAAGCGCGCGCAGGUGGUUUCUUAAGUCUGAUGUGAAAGCCCACGGCUCAACCGUGGAGGGUCAUUGGAAACUGGGGAACUUGAGUGCAGAAGAGGAAAGUGGAAUUCCAAGUGUAGCGGUGAAAUGCGUAGAGAUUUGGAGGAACACCAGUGGCGAAGGCGGCUUUCUGGACGGUAACUGGACGCUGAGACGGCGAAAAGCGUGGGGAGCAAACAGG
rnacentral:rRNA from 1 species